rnacentral:rRNA from 1 species
CCUUGUAUGCUCGCCAGAGAAUACCAAAACUCUUUUUAUUAAUGUCGUCUGAGUACUAUAUAAUAGUUAAAACUUUCAACAACGGAUCUCUUGGUUCUGGCAUCGAUGAAGAACGCAGCGAAAUGCGAUAAGUAAUGUGAAUUGCAGAAUUCAGUGAAUCAUCGAAUCUUUGAACGCACAUUGCGCCCCUUGGUAUUCCGGGGGGCAUGCCUGUUCGAGCGUCAUUUCAACCCUCAAGCUUAGCUUGGUAUUGAGUCUAUGUCAGUAAUGGCAGGCUCUAAAAUCAGUGGCGGCGCCGCUGGGUCCUGAACGUAGUAAUAUCUCUCGUUACAGGUUCUCGGUGUGCUUCUGCCAAAACCCAAAUUUUUCUAUGGUUGACCUCGGAUCAGGUAGGGAUACCCGCUGAACUUAAGC